rnacentral:lncRNA from 12 species
AGAUCAGGACCUGGCCUGAAAAACAGGAGGCCGCGCCGGGCUCUGUCUGGCUGGGAUGGUCAGGGCCUGCGCGGAAAUCCUGCAAGUGGUUAUGGUGGGGGAGGGCCUGGCCAGGUGGGAGUGGGGCUGUUCACGGAGGUGGGCGGCAGCGGGGCGGGCACUUCCAAGCUUCAGACCCGGGCUGUUCCGGUAAACAAGUGCAACCCUCAGCUCCCUGGAGGGCCCAGGAGCAAAUGUGCGCAUCUCUGCCUCUUUGCCAGCAGCUGUUUGCAGGAGGCCGCGGCCCCGCCGUCUCCACUGCGCUCCUCCAGGCUUUCCCCGCCCGGCUCCAGCCUCAGGAAGUGGCGCCGCGGAGAACCGCUCCUCCAGCCUCGCCUCCUGCGGAGAGUGUCCUCCCCGGGAGCGUUUCCUGACCUAAUUAAGCCGGGUGCUCAAAAUUGCAUCCUGGAAAAUACCGAGUGUCCCAGAAGCCCUGGCCUAGAGGACCAGGAAGACUGACAGCAGCUGGCCUAACUGGGUCCCUCAAAGGCCAGAAGUUGACUGUUUCUACCCCCAGCCUCUGCCCCAAGAACUCGAGACCCACCCCAACGCCUCACGCACAGCCUACUACCAAUUCACCUUCUGCUCUUGCACUGUGUCUGUUUUGUUCAUUUGUUUAAAUCAUUUCACAUUCACUCUUGAGUUGGCCACCCCCCACCCCACCCCCACCCCUGCUGCUGUGUGUUGGGGAGGAGCACCCAGUCAGGGCCUGGGCUCUGGAGUGGGUUCCAUCACUAAAGCCCCUGAGUGAGCUUGCUGGCAACAACAUGUGACCUCUCAGCCAUCAUUCUCCCACGUGUAAAAUGAGGGUCUUGGUGCUGCCUUGCCUCCAAUAUGCUUUGAGCCCACAAUCUUCACCCCGUGAGCAGUGGGAAACAUAAUGUGUGAUGGGGGAACACAAGGCUAGCUGAGGACAAGGCACGAGCCUAGAGCAGCACAUUGACAAGUCCUUGAAAGAGGCAGAGGGACUCUACGGACUCAGCUGCCUCGAUGUUCAUGCUUUGCUAAGGGCAGGAGACAAUCCUAGCCUGACCCCUAUGACCCUGAGAGUCUACUUUAACAUAUAAAAAUUCCUUCAGAAAUUUCCUUUAUGUCCAAACCCCCAAUAUACGUGUUGGCAAUCAUCCCCCAAGCACAUGGCCCACCGACAUACAUCUGAAGGGUCUCAUGACUCAGGUUUUAUUAGACGGUAAUAAGUGACCUUUUCCCAAUGAAAGCCAGCCCCCUCAAGGUCCUGGAAACCUUGCUUCCAAAAUUCCUUAGAGAGUACACGAUGCUGAAACCCCUCCCAACUCCCAGGUCUAUAAUCUGCCACAGGCCCCGGGGCAGCAGUCCUUCCUACCCACGGGUCCUGUCCCCUGUGCUUUAAUAAAACCACCAUUUUGCACCA